rnacentral:rRNA from 1 species
AUUGAACGCUGGCGGCAGGCCUAACACAUGCAAGUCGAGCGGAUGAAGGGAGCUUGCUCCUGGAUUCAGCGGCGGACGGGUGAGAAAUGCCUAGGAAUCUGCCUGGUAGUGGGGGAUAACGUCCGGAAACGGGCGCUAAUACCGCAUACGUCCUGAGGGAGAAAGUGGGGGAUCUUCGGACCUCACGCUAUCAGAUGAGCCUAGGUCGGAUUAGCUAGUUGGUGGGGUAAAGGCCUACUAAGGCGACGAUCCGUAACUGGUCUGAGAGGAUGAUCAGUCACAUGGGAACUGAGACACGGUCCAGACUCCUACGGGAGGCAGCAGUGGGGAAUAUUGGACAGUGGGCGAAAGCCUGAUCCAGCCAUGCCGCGUGUGUUGAGAAGGUCUUCGGAUUGUAAAGCACUUUAAGUGGGGAGGAAGGGCAGUAAGUUAAUACCUUGCUGUUUUGACGUUACUAACAGAAUAAGCACCGGCUAACUUCGUG